CAGAGCUAGGAGACAUGCAAAAUCGAACAAAUUCAUGAAAUAAUUUAGGUGACCUCAUCGAUGGCUUUAGAAGCUGUCCACUGAUUUUCACAUUUGUUUCUUCAACAGCGACUUCGUUUCAGAAUCCUAGACUCCAUUAUCCAUCUGCAUAUUCGACAUUAUCAUAUGAGUGUCUAAUGGCAUCUCAGUCAGAACUAAAACCAAAUUAUUAAUUGAUUUUCUCAUCCUACUACUCCCAAACCUUAAUCCUGUAAUUGUUAAAGCUGAAAACCUAGGUGUCAUCCUUGAGUCCCCUUCAUUGGAGUCACUAAGAGGGCUCUGUCAGCGGACCUCCUGCCAGGAAACCGAUGGGUAUUUAAAUUGGGUAAUUUGUAGAGAGUUAACUUAUGGGACAAUUGACAAAGGUAUGGACAGGGUGUGAGGAAAUCACCCCCAGUCCCAUACGGACAAAAGAGCCUUUAUGAGAACCCAGUGAUAGAGAGGACUGACGGGGUGGAAGGCUGCUGGAGCUGUGACUUUUGGGGACAUACGACCUGCCCUCAUGCAAGGAGGGAGCUGGGGAAGUGAAGACCCAGUUUUGUUCGUCUCUCAUCUCUUGCUGGUGCCUUCGUUUCUACUGAAUUUGACUGGAACCAGAGGCAUAAGUGCCUACUGAUGCAGUCAGAGAGGUCGCCUCCGUGCACAAUGAGCUUGGUGAGGAUGGGGAUGUGGCAAGACACCCAGCACAAAGGCUAGUGAAGCCCACACUAUGUUAUUUCUAGAACAUGCCUUCAAUAGGGUUGUUUUUUGUUUCUCAUGUAUCUUCUGCAUUGUUGAUUCUUUUCGUAUUAAAGAUUACCUUUUAACUGUAUUUUUCUUGGUAGUUAAUGGCCCUGUUUCUGUUUCUAGUUUGCUUUUAUUGUUUGUUUAUUUUUAAAGUAAUGAUGCCCCAGCCAUACAUUAGAGUUCUCUUGAAAUCCUCUCCUAGCUAGGCAGAGGUCUUAGGUUAGCCAGACCUGUUAAUUAAUAUGCUUUUUAUAGCCAAAUAAUUUGAGUAUUAAGUUGUUAGAAAUUGUGUUAAAAUUGAGGAGUGAACAUAUUCAAAAUGUAAACAAUUGCUGGUAGUACUUGGCAUGUUAAUAUUGUGUACUUGGGUUUAUAAAUCUUUAAUUUUUCUUUUUGCAAUCUCAUUUUGAAGUACCACAGAUACUGGGGCUUUUACACUUUAGAUAUAGUCAACAUACAACAUUAGUUUCAGGUGUACAACAUGAUUGGACAUGGGUGUGCACUGAUUCUUGGGGCUCUCAAUGAAAGAGUUACAGAAAGUUCUCCAGCUGAGAUUCAGGCUCAUAUUUAAGUUGGCAGUUGAACUGCUGCUGAGGCCAUAUCCUGUGUCAAGCCAAAGAUUAUCACACUACUUAGUGCUACCCUAGGAUCUCUCCUUUAAGCUCACCUUACAUUUUCAUCAGUCUUUCAAAGCUUAAAAUACCUACCUUAACCUACAUGGGGUGUGAUUUAGAGAAUAUCUCUUGCCUUUAUUGGAUGAAAUUUUAUUUGAUAGCUUUUUAUUAUCGCCUUUAUUCUCUUAUUUCUUUCAACGAAGAACUAGUUUUGGCUUGUAAACACAAACUUAAUAAAACAUAAGACGUAAUAUGAGAUUUAAUGUUGUGUAAUGUAUUGUUUAAAAAAUCUCAUGUUCUGAGAUUCCGUAUCUUUUAUCCUUCUUUGAGGGUGCAGAGAGAUUUGCAAAUUGUAAAGAAACUGUUAUUAUGGAAACAUCAGUGGCAUUGGAGAGAGAGCUGUGGUUUUAAUCGUAUAGUUUGCUUUGAAGAGUAUUGUGUGUUAAGUCUCAAGGCAGUUUUUUAUUCUAUACCCCUCUGCCCCCAGACUACAGGACAAGGAUGUCUUAUUUUAAUAUAUGCAGAAUUCAUUAGGGCCGUCAUUCUUUGUCUCAGGUUUUUACGCAACAGAGAAUACUUGCAUUUUUCUCGUGAUACCUUAUUCCCCUUGCAUGGUUCCCAAAUGAGCUCUGAUCUUCUGAAAUACAUUUUAGGUACUCUUUUGGUGAUGAAUAUUUUAUCUCUGCCUACACUGUCUCUAAUUUGUCCAUGAACAAUUCCCUUGAGGACCUUUAUAUCCACUGUUGCUGUAAUUAUAAAAUCGAUUGUAACACUCGAGUCAAAGAGUCAUGCUCAUAUGCCCUUUCUUUCUUGAGAAGCUGUGGCAGAGAUGGUCUUUUCAGGUGGAGUCAGAAUUCCUUGGAUAAACAUCAGAAAAUAUUCUCAUAGAAUCAACAAAUAAAUGAGACAUAAUGUCCUAUUUUUAAACAAUGCCUUUAUCUAAUCCUUCCCCUUCCAACCUCAUUCCCCCUACUGUUUUUUUUUUUUGUGUGUGUGUUUUAUUUUUUAACAUGCUGGUUUAUUGUAAGCCUUCAGAUUUUAUUUUUUAGGGAAAGCUGAAUUUGUUAACAAAAUAUAAAAAAUCAUUGUCUUUGAAUUUUGAAUUUGUUAACAAAACAUAAAAAAUCAUUGUCUUUGGCUAACCAUAAAUAAGAUGGCUCUGGUUUUUUGGUUUUGGUUUUUCUAUGUGUUCCUGAUGAGUAGUUUUUUUUGUUACAGUUGCUGCACAAUUACAAUGUGAUUUGCAAAUUAGAAAAGAGAGAUUUGAGGGAUUAUACAUGACUUAGAUAAACAUGUAGAAAAUCGGUGGUCUGAUGAAAGGAAAAAAAAAAAAAGAAAAAAAAAAA
ensembl:lncRNA